rnacentral:rRNA from 1 species
UACGAAGGGGGCUAGCGUUGCUCGGAAUCACUGGGCGUAAAGGGCGCGUAGGCGGCGUUUUAAGUCAGGGGUGAAAGCCUGUGGCUCAACCACAGAAUGGCCUUCGAUACUGGGACGCUUGAGUAUGGUAGAGGUUGGUGGAACUGCGAGUGUAGAGGUGAAAUUCGUAGAUAUUCGCAAGAACACCGGUGGCGAAGGCGGCCAACUGGACCAUUACUGACGCUGAGGCGCGAAAGCGUGGGGAGCAAACAGG